AGCAGCCGCGGUAAUUCCAGCUCCAAUAGCGUAUAUUAGAGUUGUUGCAGUUAAAAAGCUCGUAGUUGAAUUUCGGGAUCAGAUUGUCGGUCGUGCCUCGGUACGCACUGGCAUUAUUGGUUCCUACCUUCUGAAGAACCGCGAUGUCAUUAAUUUGGUGUCGUGGGGAAUCAGGACUGUUACUUUGAAAAAAUUAGAGUGUUUAAAGCAGGCGCACGCUUGAAUACAUUAGCAUGGAAUAAUGAAAUAGGACGUUUGAUUCUAUUUUGUUGGUUUCUAGGAUCGACGUAAUGAUUAAUAGGGAUAGUUGGGGGCAUUAGUAUUCAAUUGUCAGAGGUGAAAUUCUUGGAUUUAUUGAAGACUAACUACUGCGAAAGCAUUUGCCAAGGAUGUUUUCAUUAAUCAAGAACGAAAGUUAGGGGAUCGAAGACGAUCAGAUACCGUCGUAGUCUUAACCAUAAACUAUGCCGACUAGGGAUCGGAUGAUGUUGAUUUUAUAAUGACUCA
rnacentral:rRNA from 1 species